rnacentral:rRNA from 1 species
UACGUAGGUGGCAAGCGUUAUCCGGAUUUAUUGGGCGUAAAGGGUGCGCAGGCGGCAUGUUUAGUCUGAGGUGAAAGCGUUGAGCUCAACUCAAUCAAGCCUCAGAUACUGGCAAGCUAGAGUGCAGAAGAGGGUUAUGGAAUUCCAUGUGUAGCGGUAAAAUGCGUAGAUAUAUGGAGGAACACCGGAGGCGAAGGCGGUAACCUGGUCUGCAACUGACGCUCAGGCACGAAAGCGUGGGGAGC